rnacentral:rRNA from 1 species
AACGAACGCUGGCGGCAUGCCUAACACAUGCAAGUCGAACGAUGCCUUCGGGCAUAGUGGCGCACGGGUGCGUAACGCGUGGGAAUCUGCCUUUCGGUUCGGAAUAACUCGGGGAAACUUGAGCUAAUACCGGAUAACGUCGCAAGACCAAAGAUUUAUCACCGUAAGAUGAGCCCGCGUAGGAUUAGCUAGUUGGUGAGGUAAAGGCUCACCAAGGCGACGAUCCUUAGCUGGUCUGAGAGGAUGAUCAGCCACACUGGGACUGAGACACGGCCCAGACUCCUACGGGAGGCAGCAGUGGGGAAUAUUGGACAAUGGGCGAAAGCCUGAUCCAGCAAUGCCGCGUGAGUGAUGAAGGCCUUAGGGUUGUAAAGCUCUUUUACCCGGGAAGAUAAUGACGGUACCGGGAGAAUAAGCCCCGGCUAACUCCGUG